AUGAACCACAGCAACACUGCCUUAUGGAACAGACAAGCCCAUUCCUUCUCUCCCUCGAUCAACAGUAACAUUUGUUAUCUGCCUCGGGCGUCUCAUGAUGACGUUGAUGGGAAAUGUAUCUGUACAUUGAGUGCUGGGCUGCUGGCCAAUCCUACUGCAAGGUACUGUACAUUUUGCGUCACACCACCUCCGUUUUGGAUAAAGGGCAUUUCACAACACCUUGAAUACCAACAUCUAGCUGAGUAGAAAUAACAUGAAGAGAAGCUCUAAGACCAGAAAGUUCUAGAUGAAAGGUUUCAGGUUUUGACAAAUUGUUCCUCACAGACAAGGCAGGACUUGUUUGAAUGAUACAUUUUUCUUUUCUUUGACUUAAAGUCAUUUGACUGAGAUAGUGCUUCUCUCAUUGAACUCUGAAAACAAGAAACAGGUAAUUGAAAUGCAAAGAUUAUUCUAAAAUGUUAAUGCUUUUAUAGUCUGAACAACAGUGAUUACAGUUAUCUUCAAUGAAUGCACAUACAAAUACAAGGUGUUGUGUCUCCAUACGCCUACUCCACAGGCUGCCUUAGCAACAGUCUGCUGAAAUGGCUUUCUCUGAGUUAUAAGACAGAUCUCAUUGUGUGAACAGCAGGCCCAGCUGUCUUACUGUCAGGUAUGUGAAGGUUAAUGCUACUUUAUUUGCAUUGCUAUUCAUUUAAGAUGAGCGAUUAUUGCUUGCAUUAGCCCAAGUUUCAGCCCACUACUCUGCAGUAGUCGAUGAUUAUCUGGAGGGACUUGGAAAACUGCAAUUACAAAAAAACAAAUAUGAGAGAGUUUCAGCUUCAGUGGCUUUAGAAAAAUCAGGACCACACAUGAGGAUAUAGUUAUAUAGGAAUAUAGUUGUUGCUAAUGAAAUGAAAUUACUAGAAAUCAGUGCAGGAUGAAAGAAGUGACUCUGUUAAUCUGACUCGGGCAGGAAGAUUAUUCCACCACAGGAUUUGGAGACCGGGGGUGGUGAUGACCAGCCUGGUGCAAGGACAUUGGAGCCAAGCAGCCAGUCGUGACAGAAUGCGGGAGCAUGGACUUGUGUGUCUACCCAUGGCCUGGAGGUAUGGAGCUGCAGAUCCCUUCACAACCAUGUGUGCCAAACCCAGGGGAUUUUAAACUAGUGCAGUAUGAGCUGCUACAGAGAGCCAGAGGAGGGAGAGUAGGACAGAACUUACAUGAAAGAAUUUGGGGAGAUUUGAGACAAGACAGGCUGCAGUCGGUUGGCUGAGUCGUGGGGAGUCUAGGAAGUGUUUCAGGAGGCAGACUACAAGGACUCGGAGCGCUGCAGAAUGCUUGCAGAGGAUACAUCUGGUUUGAUAGAUGUUGUGGAGUGUAAACCUGCAGGAUCAGGUUGUAGAUGUAGUAACAUGACUUUUAUUAGGCUCUAAUUAGCCUUUUAUAUCUACAGAUGCUGUGGGUCACCUGCCAUGGAGUUUCUUCUUUGGGGUUCAGCAAGGAAGCAAGGGAGUUGCAAUCCGCAACCACACCAAAAAACAAAUAUUAUCUGAAAGCAUACAAACCACAGCAAUUUACAGAUCAUUAAUUUGGUUUAGCUUUACAGUCAUAGGUUCACAGUUAAAUGUAAUCUGCUUCUCCAACUUUGUGUCUUUGGACUGAAGUUGCUGUUUUGAUUGUGCAGUCAUUGGUGGAUAAGCAUUGCACCAGGGUUUUUGGUCAAAAUACAGUAAUUAUUUGUUAAUUCAGUCUAUCCGGUGCUUCAUUUGCAAGUCUGCUGCCUCAGCUGUUAAACUGACCUCUUUCAUUAGCAUUUAAUAGGGUUGAACCACACAGUUGCUGCAUUGUACUGGAGGGAGAAGCACUGUUGGGUCUAAAAUUAUAAUUUUUGCAACAGUGAAUCAAGAUGGGGCGGGAUAAUUUUGGAGUAAGUGAUCUUUAACAGGUCACUUUUAUGCAUAAAAGUAAGUUAAUUGAAAGGAUUAAGAGCACAUGGUGCUGUCUCAAUCUCACCUCUGGAUGUUUGGUUUAAUGUUGGUGGGAUCAAGCCAUUUCAGAGAGUGAUGCCUUGUCAGUUUGUGUAGCUGAUUGUGCCCACUAGGGCUUGUGUACAAGCUUGGUGAGGUGUAUACUGCAUGUAUCUAUUCUACACAUUGCAUUAUCAAUUAUCUUAUCCAUUGUGUCACAAUAUCCAUUCUGAGUGCCAGUUAGCUGUUAAAAAAGGCUGGCAAUAUUUUGUAUUUUUGUUAUGCUUAACAAAUCCCAUGAAAAUGUACUAAUCCAUCUCUCAACACUGUCCCACUUUUCCCAGCCCAUUCAUUUCUACUGGAAACAAUGUAUGUCAUUAAGAUAUCUUUAGAAACAGUUCAUGCUACAUGCCUUCAUUUUAAAUCAAAAUAAUUCCUUAAAGAACUAGGAAGUGUAGUUGCUAGCAGCGUAACUAAAACACGAGUAAACAGUACCAGUGCCAGGGAUUAUUUUCAGCUGUGAAUUUGGUGCUCUAUUGUGUAUAUACAGCAGCAGGAUGGUGUAUAUGGGACUGGCACAAAAUAAUCUAUAAAGCCCAUGCAUAUUAUAAUAAAGGAGAAUGUCUCCCAGUGCAUCAGUGAUGUGUUUCAACUGUGAUGAUGGAUCUCUAUAUUAGGCUUUGGCUACACAGGCAAUGCCUGGGUCAAUUCAUUGAUUUAAUUCUUUUCAUGAGAUUUAUUGACACCAUUUUUAUUCUUUAAUAUUGGUUCACCUUUCUUAAAUUAGUAGUUUUAAGGUUUUAAACUUUAAUGGUUUACAUUCUGCACAGCCUUGCAACAACACAGAGCUAAAACUGUAUACAAGUCUAUACAAUUCCUUCCUCAUAUCACCAAAGUCCUGCAAUAAUACGAAUCUCGAUCUCACACUUGAGGUAUGAGGUACACUGCUGGGACAAUCCGGAGCAAUGAUUGCCUUCUUGUCUGUAGAUUGUUCGGUAGAUUGAUAGAACAAGUGAGCAUUUUACACCAUAGUGUGCUAUUCCCUACACUUUAUCACUUUUUAUUUCCCUGCAUUAACAUCUGAUAUAUAAUCUAAUGUCCAUUUUUAUUCUAUUUCAUUGAAAGUUAUUUGCUCUGUUAGAGCUUUUAUUCCCCUUAAUGUCUUUAGUUAAAAACACAAACACACACACACACACACACACACACACACACAGUCUUCAUCGCUGUCUCUUCCCUAACAUGCACACAAUCUUUCACGCCCACACACAUCCUCAACUAUGCACGUACAUUAAACCAACUCAACUGAGCUGGUAGCAUGCUAUUUCAGCAGCCUACUGUUUUGUCAACGUGAGAACCUAAAAUAGAGAUACCCUGCUUUCCAUGGAGAUACACCCAUGGACACAUUAGCCCACGCACGCACCGUCACCAACAUGGGGAUGCUCACACAGACCUAAACAAACUUAAAGAUAAAAGGGACACAAACACUCACGCAGACCUCUCAGAUUUGAGUGGAUACAUAUAGACACACAUUUGUGCACACACAGAGCUGUAGUGUAUAUAGUGGGAUUUACUCAUAUAUUGGAGCAGAAUUACAAACACACAACACAAACACAAAGCUCUGAGCUUGAAUGACAUAAACAUAUAUUGAAUGUUUGGCUGAUAAAGCUCAAGAUAACAGUGGAAAAUAGACCAGCUCCCCAGACAUACAAAUACACACACACACACACACACACACACACACACACACACACACACACAUACACACACACACACAUACACACACACAUAAGUAGAGUGGAUAAUGACACGUGGGGCACUUAUUUCAGGGAAGCAAAGGUGGGUACAAGAUAUGAGUAACAAAUGUAGUAAGCAGAGCCACUCCACUGACAACUUCACCAGAAUGCUCUGCAAUUUAUAUUUCCAUGUUAGUGGCCUCCCUUUGAGCUGUGCUCCCAGCCUGUGGAUCAUUAAAAACACUUUCACUCAUAACCCAGAAUAAUGAAGACACAUUAAGUGUCUCAGGUCGAUGCUUAAUUUUUUGCCUUUCACACACGCUUGAUUUGUUACCACAGUUUUAUACACUCCAAACAAAAGCACUUUACCAUACCUAAUAUAAUUAUAUAU
rnacentral:lncRNA from 15 species